UCAAGCUUGAAGUUUGCUGAUCCAGAGCAGUCUUUCUACAAACAUGUCUGAAGUCCAGCAGCUGAGGGACAUGUUGAAACUACAGCUAACACCUGCUGAUGAACGAAUGAUCACAGACCAGGAAGAUAAAAUGAGUCAAUUAAAAGAAGAGAGCAAAACAGACAUGCAGCCC